rnacentral:lncRNA from 1 species
AUGGAACACAAACAUGCAGAGCACCAGACAGAACGAAGGCCAGAAGGGCUUCUGCAUACUGGUCCAAAAAGGUGCCAAGCUAUUUCAACAAAGCAUGUUGACAUAGAAGGAGUAAAUGAAGGUUCCUGUCUUCUACCUCGAUGUGGAUGGGAAGGCAAAGAUCUCAGCAUUUUUCUUCUAUGCAAAGAGUUACUGAUAUCAGCCAGCCCAACCAUGUCUCGUCAGAUGCGCCCUGGGUGCUGGUUUCAGAUGUGCAUCUUUAUUUCUAAUGCACAGGAAAUAUGUUAUCAAGGGUAAAAUAGCUGAUUUUAAGUGUUCGUGUUUUUUUGUGUUUUGUUUUGUUUUCUAAAUUUCCAAUUUGGGGAAAAGAAAAUCUUCCAUUUUUCUUUUCAGGAUUUAAAAAAAAUUAACUGUAAUUGAAGAAUACUGAAAAAUAUCUCAAUACUUAAAAAAAAAAAAAAAAAAGGAGAUCGUUAGAUCAGAAACUGCUGUCUGUACUUGAUGCAGUUGCCUGUUUCACAUCAGUAAUAGCAAUCAGUGGUUUAAUGAACAGCAGUUGUACAGCAGGUGAGAUGAAGGUGAAACACUGACGAGUUUCUAGAUUUUUGAGGCAGUUUGCUCAGAGCUCUCUAAAAGGCUUCUAGUUUUUCAGCCAGGAGCUAGAAUUCUUCAAACAUCAGACGGGAAAGGUUUUUAGAUUUUUCCUUGGACUUUGUGCUCCAGGGAGUGUUCAGGCCUCCUGUACUAGAGAAAGGAGGCAGGGAAAGGCUGCCUAUUGACCUAGGUAGCUGUGUAAUUCCUGUCAUUAUUGAAGUCUGUUCUGAAGCUGCAGAGAAGGGAAACUAACCUUUCCUGGUAGUGUGCCUUAACCUUUUUCUUUUCAUAAAAGUUCAACCAGUUCUGAGAUAUUCUGAUAGUAUUUAAUGUUUUUCAGCAUUCCAUUAGGAAAUAAUUAACUUCAUUUAGGAGUCAUUAUUGAAAACACAGCAUUAAAUAAUUACAUUACAUUUACUUUUUCUGAAGAUAACUAACACAUGCUGUAACUACAAAAAAAAAAAAAACAAAAAACCAUGUUCUGCAAUGGAUAACAAUGAAAUUUCCUCUUCUUACAGAAAAGUAAAACCAGAACUUCUGUGCGUUAUUAUCCAUUCGGUCUUUGUUCCUAAACUCUGAUAUUUAAAAAAUAGUAAUUGGAAAAAUCUGAAGUUUUUUUGUCACUAUGUUUUAAGGUUUCUUAAGCAUUUGUAUUUUAGAAGCUAAAAAAAAUAAGGCAUUUCCAAAGAUAAAAGCAUAGUGGGAAAGAAACCCAGUUGAACACUCUCCUGUAGGUGUGUUUGAAAGACCUUGGAAAACAGAGACUUCUAAGGAUCUUUUCCACUAUUUUUUUGCUUGUUUUUCCACCUCCAGUAUUCUGAGUUUAUUGGUAAAUUGACAUGAGGGAGAAAAGAACUGGAGUGCAGUAACAGAAAACCUAGUUUGGCAGAGGGAAAUCAUUCUGAAAAUAUAAUGUUAGGGAUCUGCAUAAGACAAAUGAGGAAUUUUAGUUUUUCACCAUAUUUCUUGCACUACACUUGUAUGUUGGCUUCAUUGACCAAUUGCUUACUGUCGUAAUUACUGUUUUCAUAAAGCAUGAAUGGAAAGUCACUAUCAUAAACUCUGCUUACUGCUGCUUCUCCUCUACAUCACCUUUUUUGAGAAGUCAGACACGGUUAUGAUGUUUCACUACAUGAUAAUACUGGAGUUCUUGAGCAUGUGAGUAAAUAGCUUUCUUGGCAGAAGAAAGCCAGCAGGAAACUAUGGGUAUAUUUUUGGUUCAGCCUGCUGUCUUUUUUUUUUUUUUUUUUUCCUUUACUGGGUAAGAAACUGAAGCCCAGAUUAACAAAACAACAUAGGCCUAGGUAUCUAAAGGAUGAUCUUCAGUUACUUGUCUAGGAGUCUAUCUGUGACAGAAAAUCAGCACGUACAAAGUAAACUUGUAAGAGAUUUUUCCUGUACAUGAAAAGGACCACCACCUGAAUAUCUUGGCAUCUUUUUCCUGCCUUGUCAGAGAACAGACUCUCACUUAAGUCUUUGGGGGCUGAUUGAUAGAUGUCACCUGUCUCGGGUAAUUGCUUUAACCAGAGGCCUUGGAGAAUACUGCUUCCUGAAUUCCCUCUCUAGACCAUCUGGUUAUGAACGUUUUCCUACACAAUAUUACAGUGUGAAGAGCGUGAAGUAAGUUAACUUUUCAAGCUUUGCUAGCAAGUGAAAUAUUUCAUUGAGUGAGAUGGAGUGAAGUGGGUUAAAACUCUUGGGGGGCUGGGUAGCAAGUCUGUUCCACCUCCUCUUUUUUGAGUUAGUAAUCAAAACACUGUAAACAUGGAAUGUUGUGCAUUCUGCUUAAAUUAUAGUGGAUCAUCAAUAUCUUGAUCCCUUUUACUUUCACUGGUGCUCAUGUGGAAAACAAGGUUCCUUAUUUUCCAUUUCUAGGGAUGCAAAUUUCAGACUUGAUCUGAGGGUGUUAUCUUAAGAUGCUUAAACUUAUGAAAUGUGGAAUAAAAGUGUGGAAAGAAGUGAAGUACUCCGUUGU